rnacentral:misc_RNA from 1 species
CGGCGAGGACGCUAUAGUGGACUCUAACACAUAAGCCACGCACCCGCACGGCGGCGCUCGAUCUGGCUGUCUGGCUAGUUCUUGAGGAGGUAGUCGUCGAGGUCGUGGAAGGUCUUGGCGGCGGUCUCCUUGAUGACGUCCGGGUCGGGCACCUCCUCGCUGGCCUUGUCGAAGUCCAUGGUCCAGCUCACCACCGCGCCGUCGGCGGCGGGGGCGGCGGCGCCGCCCUUGGGGGUCACCUGCAGCGUCACCCUGAAGUUCUUGUAGAAGCUGACCAGCUCGCCGUCCACCACGCUGUACGACACCACCUUCUUCUCGUCGUCCGCCACCUCCACCUUCUCCUUCGCGAACGUCACCAUCGGCACCCCUUCGGUGUACUUGAGGAGGCGGACGGUGCCGGCGGACUUGCCGUCGCCCUCGACGGUCUCGAUGCUCUUGUACUGCUCGG